UGCAGUUAGAACGCUCGUAGUCGGAUUUCGGGGCGGGCCGACCGGUCUGCCGAUGGGUACGCACUGGUCGGCGCGUCCUUCCUUCCGGAGACCGUUCCUACUCUUAACUGAGCGGGGGCGGGAGACGGAUCGUUUACUUUGAAAAAAUCGGAGUGUUUCAAGCAGGCAGCUCGCUCUUGCAUGGAUUAGCAUGGGAUAAUGAAAUAGGACUUUGGUGCUAUUUUGUUGGUUUCGAACACCGAAGUAAUGAUUAAAAGGGACAGUCAGGGGCACUCGUAUUCCGCCGAGAGAGGUGAAAUUCUCAGACCAGCGGAAGACGAACUACUGCGAAAGCAUUUGCCAGGGAUGUUUUCACUGAUCAAGAACGAAAGUUAGGGGAUCGAAGACGAUCAGAUACCGUCGUAGUCUUAACCAUAAACCAUGCCGACUAGGGAUUGGAGGAUGUUCUCUUUAAGACUCCUUCAGCACCUUACGGGAAACUAAAGUCUUUGGGUUCCGGGGGGAGUAUGGUCGCAAGGCUGAAACUUAAAGGAAUUGACGGAAGG
rnacentral:rRNA from 1 species